rnacentral:tRNA from 1 species
GGGACUGUAGCUCAGCUGGUUAGAGUACCACGUUGACAUCGUGGGGGUCGGCGGUUCGAUUCCGUCCAGUCCCACCA